AGAAGCCGGUUCUGCCACUGCCGCCGCGCCCAGCCGCCGUCGCGUGCUCCGUCGCCGCUGCUGAAGAUGCGCCUCCGAGAUUCUGUCGCCAGAGAACGGUGCCGUCACUGAGAUCCACCGCCGGCAAGGUUCUUGCUUCGAGUUUUCAUUCUUUUGAAUUUCCGGGAACGUUAUCGUCACUGCAUGUUUGUAUUAUGAUUCCAUGAUGCAAAUUCCAUGUCACUAGCGUUUAGCAUUCUUGAGGAUCUUAUUGAGCUUUUAGGGAGCAAAAGUUGGCUCAUUGAAGAGGCAAGGAACCUGCAUUGUCUCCAAUCAAAUUGAGAAAAAGUUGGCAAGAUAAAAAAAACCUCUGAACUUUAAUUCAUGUUCAUCAGAGGUGGAUUAGUCAGCCCAUGCACCAAACACACGCACACAACACACUCAUACACACUACAUGUAGUUCAUUUUUGGGUUCAUUCAUUUGAAUGUCUUCUGUUUUUUAUGAUUGUUGUAUUUAUCGGACUAUAAAAGCACUUUAUCUAUUCAUGGACAAUGUAUUGAAUGUUUGAACAUGAGUCCAAACCAUUUAUUUAUUUUAAAAUAUUUUAUAUGAUAA